UAUGAUUAAUGAAAUAAGUGGUGAGAUUUCCACAACUUGUGUAUUGGACAGGGAGAAAGAAAACUUUUAUAAAUUUAUAAUUAAGGGCGUCCAACGAAACACAGACGUUAGAAGUUGCACUGCUACAUUGUCCAUAAUUGUGGAUGAUGUGAAUGACCAUGCUCCUGAAUUUCAGAAAACGGACUUCAAUUUCUCUGUUCCAGAGCAUUCUAGCAAAGGGACGUCUAUUGCACGUGUCACAGCAGUAGAUAUUGAUGAGGGUGAAAAUGCAGAAGUGGGAUACAAAAUUCUUAAACCAUACAAUGCAACGUUUUCAGUGGACAAUCAAGGUGUUAUCAGAGUGGAAAAUCCGCUUAAAAUGGACCGAGAAAGCG